rnacentral:rRNA from 1 species
UACGAAGGGUGCAAGCGUUACUCGGAAUUACUGGGCGUAAAGCGUGCGUAGGUGGUUUGUUAAGUCUGAUGUGAAAGCCCUGGGCUCAACCUGGGAACGGCAUUGGAAACUGGCUUACUAGAGUGCGGUAGAGGGGUGUGGAAUUCCCGGUGUAGCAGUGAAAUGCGUAGAUAUCGAGAGGAACACCAGUGGCGAAGGCGAGUCUCUGGACAUUUCCUGACGCUGAGGCACGAAAGCCAGGGGAGCAAACGGG